AUCUCUGCAUCCCUCAGAGAAGUUUUUUUCCUGAUUUUGUUUCUCUUGAAGCGCCUGGGGUGAGGAUAAACCUCUACAUUGGCCAAGCAGAAGAAGCAGCUAAGAAGAAUUGCUCUGUGCCAGUUGUGUUUUUCCAUCAUCAAUCUUCUCAUUAGUCUUUAGUACAAGUCUGUAAGGAUCUGUGACCCAGGUGAAUCAGUCAGGAGGGGCUCUUCACAGCGCAGAGGGAAGCACUUUUCACACUGUUCUAGAAUGAGAAGUUGAAUUCAUGAACUCACCUAAUUUAGAAGACAUGGGCUGUGGCACUUCAUCUGCAACAAAAGACAAGAAAUCUGAGAAAGCACUAAAAGCCGCAUUGGUCAUACAGAACUGGUACCGAGGUUACAGAGCCCGGUUGAAGACCAGACAACGCUAUGCCCUCACCAUCUUCCAGUCCAUCGAAUACGCUGAUGAGCAAGGCCAGUUGCAGCUCUCAAACUUCUUCUCCUUCAUGUUGGAAAACUAUACACAUGUGCAGGAGAAAGAGCCAGGAUUAGUAACUCGCCUUUUUGGUAGCAGCAUUCAGGACAAGGAUAGACAAGACUAUUUGGAGUUGAUAGAAAUCCCAGACUCCUACUGUGGUCCUCGGCUGCAAUUUCCUCUCACUUUUACUGACAUUGAUUUACUUAUUGAGGCCUUCAAGCAACAACAGAUACUUCAUGCUUAUUAUGUCUUAGAGGUGCUGUUUGAAACCAAGAAAGUCCUACAGCAAAUGCCGAAUUUUACUCAUACAAACACAUCUCCAUCCAAAGAGAUAACAAUUUGUGGUGAUUUGCAUGGGAAGCUAGAUGACCUUUUUCUGAUCUUCUAUAAGAAUGGUCUCCCCUCAGUGACCAACCCAUAUGUUUUUAAUGGUGAUUUUGUAGAUCGAGGAAAAAAUUCCAUGGAGAUCCUAAUGAUCCUGUUUGUGAGUUUUCUUGUGUACCCAAAUGACCUGCACUUGAACAGAGGCAACCAUGAGGAUUUUAUGAUGAAUAUGAGGUAUGGCUUCACGAAAGAAAUUUUACAUAAAUAUAAGCUGCAUGGAAAAAAAAUCUUACAAAUCUUGGAAGAGGUCUAUACCUGGCUCCCAAUUGGUACAAUCAUUGACAAUGAAGUCCUGGUCAUACAUGGAGGGAUAUCAGAGUCCACAGACUUGAAUUUACUCCACCGUAUAGAAAGAAACAAAAUGAGGUCUGUGCUGAUGCCACCAAUUCCAAUGGAUGGAGACCGUGCUGAGAAGAAAAAUAAAUUGGGUACAACCACUGUGGCUCAGGGAAUCAGAACAAGUGGAUCCUUUUCUGAACAAUUAACAAAGCAGGAAUGGGAGCAGGUUAUUACUGUAUUUUCUGCGUCUAAUUAUUAUGAAGAAGGUAGCAAUCGAGGAGCUUACAUCAGAAUGAGUUCUGGUACGACCCCUCGGUUUUUCCAGUACCAAAUAACUAAGGCAACGUGCCUCAGGCCUCUUUACCAAAGGGUGAAUGCUAUUGAAAGUAGUGCCAUCAGGAUGUUAAAAGAGAGAAUGAUUUCACGAAAAACUGACCUCAUUCGAGCUUUCCAACUUCAAGACCGCAAUAAAUCAGGAAAACUUUCAAUGGGCCAGUGGGCUUUUUCAAUGGAGAAUGUUUUGGGGCUGAACUUACCAUGGAGAUCACUGAGUUCUCAUCUGGUAACCACAGACAAAGAUGGAAAUAUUGACUACAUGUCUGGCUUCCAGGAUGUCCACAUUCAGAAACCUGUGAAAGAGGUUCAGUCUACUCUAAUUGAAACAGUGUACAGAUACCGAUCUGACCUGCAAAUCAUCUUUAAUAUCAUUGACUCUGAUCACUCAGGCUUGAUCUCCAUGGAAGAAUUUCGUAGCAUGUGGAAACUUUUCAAAAGUCACUACAGUGUUCAUAUUGAUGAUUCCCAGUUUGAUGAGCUCGCCGAAAGGAUGGACUUAAACAAAGAUGGAAGCAUUGACUUUAAUGAGUUUUUAAAGGCUUUCUAUGUAGUGCAUAAAUUUGACCAGUUGACCAAAUCAGACACCAAGCUUAUA
rnacentral:lncRNA from 1 species